rnacentral:rRNA from 1 species
UACGGGGGGGGCAAGCGUUGUUCGGAAUUACUGGGCGUAAAGGGCUCGUAGGCGGCCCACUAAGUCAGACGUGAAAUCCCUCGGCUUAACCGGGGAACUGCGUCUGAUACUGGAGGGCUUGAGUUCGGGAGAGGGAUGCGGAAUUCCAGGUGUAGCGGUGAAAUGCGUAGAUAUCUGGAGGAACACCGGUGGCGAAGGCGACAUCCUGGACCGGUAUUGACGCUGAGGCGCGAAAGCCAGGGGAGCAAACGGG